GCAUUUCAAGCGGUUGACCAAUUUUUGCAAAUAGUCAAGCAGCACCAUGACAAGACGAGCACCGGAGAUACCAGCACUACAAGCAUAGGAACUUCAUCGAUUCCGGGAAAUGCGGGUUUGCUUGGCUGGGCUAUGAGCUCACUGACGCUUAAAGGAUGCAAAACCUCUGAACAGAAUCUCAAUGCUCCAGCCAUUUCUAGUGUGACUCUUGCGUCUGCAGUCUCCGAUGCUAGCUCAAAUCACAUAGUUGCAGAUAGUGCGAGUAUAAAACCAGUCCAUAUAAGUUCUGGAGCAGAUGUUGCAGAUCAUCCUAUUCCUGUAUCACCAGCAUCAUCUGAUGGAUGGGGAGAACUUGAAA
rnacentral:misc_RNA from 1 species